rnacentral:rRNA from 1 species
AUUGAACGCUGGCGGAAUGCUUUACACAUGCAAGUCGAACGGCAGCACGGGGGCAACCCUGGUGGCGAGUGGCGAACGGGUGAGUAAUACAUCGGAACGUGCCCAGUCGUGGGGGAUAACUACGCGAAAGCGUAGCUAAUACCGCAUACGAUCUAUGGAUGAAAGCGGGGGAUCGCAAGACCUCGCGCGAUUGGAGCGGCCGAUGGCAGAUUAGGCAGUUGGUGGGGUAAAGGCUCACCAAGCCGACGAUCUGUAGCUGGUCUGAGAGGACGACCAGCCACACUGGGACUGAGACACGGCCCAGACUCCUACGGGAGGCAGCAGUGGGGAAUUUUGGACAAUGGGCGCAAGCCUGAUCCAGCCAUUCCGCGUGCAGGAUGAAGGCCCUCGGGUUGUAAACUGCUUUUGUACGGAACGAAACGGCGCGGGUUAAUACCCUGUGCUAAUGACGGUACCGUAAGAAUAAGCACCGGCUAACUACGUGCCAGCCGCCGCGGUAACAC